UCUAGUAAGUAACAAAUAUCUUAACUAGAUAUUUUAAAUAAUUAUAUAAUUUUUAAGAAUAAUAUUGUAAAUAAAUAUAAAAAUAUAUUUCAUGCUACUUCAAUGUAAAUUCAAUCUUUUCAAAUAUUUAUAUACAAUAUAAUUAUAAAUCUGAUUCAAAUCAAAAUACUCAUAACUCAACAGUCAUGACUAUGAUCAAUAUUUAACCCCUAUUGGUGGAGUCCACUAAAUACCAGCGUACAACCCC
rnacentral:lncRNA from 1 species